rnacentral:rRNA from 1 species
AUUGAACGCUGGCGGCAUGCCUUACACAUGCAAGUCGAACGGUAACGGGCCUUCGGGUGCCGACGAGUGGCGAACGGGUGAGUAAUGUAUCGGAACGUACCUUUCAGUGGGGGAUAACGUAGCGAAAGUUACGCUAAUACCGCAUAUUCUGUGAGCAGGAAAGCAGGGGAUCGCAAGACCUUGCGCUGAUUGAGCGGCCGAUAUCAGAUUAGCUAGUUGGUGAGGUAAAGGCUCACCAAGGCGGCGAUCUGUAGCGGUUCUGAGAGGAUGAUCCGCCACACUGGAACUGGUACACGGUCCAGACUCCUACGGGAGGCAGCAGUGGGGAAUUUUGGACAAUGGGGGCAACCCUGCUCCAGCCAUGCGGCGUGAGUGAAGAAGGCCUUCGGGUUGUAAAGCUCUUUCGGCCGGGAAGAAAUCGUAUCAGCUAAUACCUGGUGCGGGUGACGGUACCGGCAUAAGAAGCACCGGCUAACUACGUGCCAGCAGCCGCAGUAAUAC